GACAGAGGGUGCAAACGUUGUUCGGAAUUACUGGGCGUAAAGCGCGUGUAGGCAGCCUCGCAAGUCGGAUGUGAAAGCCCUGGGCUCAACCUAGGAAGUGCAUUCGAAACUGCAAGGCUGGAGUCCUGGAGAGGAAGGCGGAAUUCUCGGUGUAGAGGUGAAAUUCGUAGAUAUCGAGAGGAACACCGGUGGCGAAGGCGGCCUUCUGGACAGUGACUGACGCUGAGACGCGAAAGCGUGGGGAGCAAACAGG
rnacentral:rRNA from 1 species